GACCUUCCAGGAUGGAAGGGAUCUACAGGAGGCACUGCCACAAACUGGCAACCAACAUCAUCAUCCAGUGGCCAGCUUCCUCCCAACAACCAUUAAUUCUGACAAAGAAUCCUUGACGGCAAACAUCAAUUUCAUUUCUCUGUCCACCAAUGAAGCGCAUCAGCCCUUGAAGGCACAUUGCUAGGCCCAGCAGUGAGGUCCUGUGCAUCCAGGUCAGUGAAGGGAGGUGAAUGGGGCCAUACCACCAUCAGAGGAGACUGCCAAGAGAUGGCUAUAGCUGCCUUGGAUGUCAGGACUUUCAUAUGAAGAAAGACUGGAUAGACUCGGUUUGUACUCGCUAGAAUUUAGAAAAUUGAGGGGGGAUCUUAUAGAAACUUACAAAAUUCUUAAGGGGUUGGACAGGCUAGAUGCAGGAGGAUUGUUGGGGAAGUCCAGAACAAGGGGUCACAGUUUAAGGGUAAGGGGGAAAUCUUUUAGGACAGAGAUGAGGAAAACAUUUUUCACAGAGAGAGUGGUGAAUCUCUGGAAUUCUCUGCCACAGAAUGUAGUUGAGUCCAGUUCAUUGGCUAUAUUUAAGAGGGAGUUAGAUGUGGCCCUUGUGGCUAAAGGGGAUCAGGGGGUAUGGAGAGUAGGCAGGUACAGGGUGAUCAUAUUGAAUGUCGGUGCAGGCUCGAAGGGUCGAAUGGCCUACUCCUGCACCUAUUUUCUAUGUUUCUAUGCCUUCUUUCAGAGUAAGAAUCCAGGACCGAGGAGCAGUGCAGACUGCAAUUUCAUGAUCUCACAAGUCUGUCAAGGUGAGUUGCUCACAACUAAUUAAACUGUACUCUUGCAUGCACACACUCGCACCUCUCACACACAAACUGCUGCACCAUCUACACACCCACAAAUACCUUUAUCCUUCCUUGCAGCAGACAGCUCAGCACUAUUGACAUUGCAACCCCUCCAUCCCAAAUCGCGAUCCAAGCAUUCAAAAUUCUGAUAAUGAUAAGGUCAUUCCAUGCUAUUCAUCAUUAAGGCUAAGACAGCAAAGAACAGGAGAGAGUCACGGUUAUUCAGCCCAGAAACAGACUUUUGACCCAACAUAUCUAUGCCAACCAUCGAGGGAAAUGUAUGGUUUUUGGUAAAGGAAGUUUGCAGAUGACACCAACAUUGAUGGUGUAGCUGUAGCAGACAAUGAAGAAGAUUGUCUAUGGGUACAACGCAAUAUUGAUUCAUUGGAAAGUUGGGCAAAGGAAUGGCAGAUGGAAUUUAACUUGGAAAAGUGCAAAGGGAUGUAUUUUAUGGAAGUUAGACUAGGCCACAACUGAAUAGAUGAAGUGGUCUCAUUAAAUGUUGUUGAACAGAAAGAUCUACAAGUACAUACUUCCCUGGAAAUGGCAAUUCGGUAGACAGGGUGGAGAAGAAAGCAUAUGGCAUGCUCGGCACCACGUACAAGAGUUGGGAGGUCAUGUUGCAGUCAUCCCAGUCACACACUUCUACAUGGUCAACAGAAUCCAGCUCCAAUUGCACAGAGCUGAUUCCAAGGAGAUGAAACCAGACAUCUGUGAUUCAGGGAUUAUUUCAUUGUGCCAGCUCCUGCUCUGGAAAUUGAGUCAUUUUUGUAGAGCAGUUUGAGUGACUCUUAGUCUCCAAUCCACAUCCUACUACAGCCUCCCAGGCAGCACAUUCG